rnacentral:rRNA from 1 species
AGUUAUCGAGCAUGGAUAAUAAUCGGGCAUAAGUAUAUCACCGAAGCUUUGGGUAUUUAACGUACGGUAGGGGAGCAUUGUAAAUAACAUUGAAGCUAUUUUGUGAAGAUUAGUGGAGUUCUUACAAAAGAAAAUGUAGACAUAAGUAACGAUAAUGCAGAUGAGAAAUCUGCACACCGAAAGAUUAAGGUUUCCUCAGCAAUGGUAAUCAUCUGAGGGUUAGUCGGGACCUAAGAUUAAGUCUAAAGGCGAUAUUGAUGGAUAAGCGUUAAAAUAUUACGCUACUUGCUUUUAUUGUGAUGGGGUGACGAAGAGAUGAAACCUACGCGUGAAUACGGAUUUGCACGUUGAAGCAAUCGGGUAUAAUAUAUAUAGUAAAAUACGUAUAUAUUGCUCAGUUGCAAUAGUACCGGAAAGUAUGGCUAAAGGCUUCCAAGAAAAUCCCCUAAACCUCAGAUAAAAGCAACCCGUACCAAAACCGACACAGGUGAUCAAGGACAGAAUCCUAAGGUGUUUGAGUGAAUCACGGCUAAGGAACUAGGCAAAAUAGACCUGUAACUUAGGGAGAAAGGUCGCCUUCUAAUUUUAGUAAGAUAAUUUUAAGGCCGCAGUGAAAAGAUCCAGACGACUGUUUAACAAAAACAUAGGGCUCUGCUAAAUCGAAAGAUGAUGUAUAGGGUCUGAUACCUGCCCAGUGCUGGAAGGUUAAGGAAGUAAGUUACUAUUGUGAAGCCUUCGACUGAAGCCCCAGCAAACGGCGGCUGUAACUAUAACGGUCCUAAGGUAGCGAAAUUCCUUGUCGGGUAAGUUCCGACCUGCACGAAUGGUUUAACGAUCUGGAUACUGUCUCAGUCGUGAGC